rnacentral:misc_RNA from 1 species
AGGUUCAUGGAUACAAGGCUCUGGUUAUGAUUGGGGAUGGUGCAACUGAUCUUGAGGCUCGAAAACCAGGUGGUGCUGACUUGUUCAUUUGCUAUGCGGGUGUUCUACUUCGAGAGACCGUAGCAGCAAAAGCUGAUUGGUUGGUUUUUAGUUUUAUAGAUCUGAUAAAUUCCUUGGAAUAGGUUUUAAUCUUCUGAAUUCUAAAUAUCUUGCUAUAUUUCUCUUUCUCCUACGGUUGUUCUAUUUUGUUGGCCAAGUACCUGUAUUAAAUCGGUGCUUUCUCAUUUUUUCUGAACUAAAA